rnacentral:rRNA from 1 species
GAUGAACGCUGGCGGCGUGCCUAAUACAUGCAAGUCGAGCGAGCGGACGAGAAGCUUGCUUCUCUGAUGUUAGCGGCGGACGGGUGAGUAACACGUGGAUAACCUACCUAUAAGACUGGGAUAACUUCGGGAAACCGGAGCUAAUACCGGAUGAUAUUUUGAACCGCAUGGUUCAAAAGUGAAAGACGGUCUUGUUGUCACUUAUAGAUGGAUCCGCGCUGCAUUAGCUAGUUGGUAAGGUAACGGCUUACCAAGGCAACGAUGCAUAGCCGACCUGAGAGGGUGAUCGGCCACACUGGAACUGAGACACGGUCCAGACUCCUACGGGAGGCAGCAGUAGGGAAUCUUCCGCAAUGGGCGAAAGCCUGACGGAGCAACGCCGCGUGAGUGAUGAAGGUCUUCGGAUCGUAAAACUCUGUUAUUAGGGAAGAACAUAUGUGUAAGUAACUGUGCACAUCUUGACGGUACCUAAUCAGAAAGCCACGGCUAACUACGUG